UAAUCGGGAUCCGGUGAGAACCACCCCUUAAGAUGAGAAAUGAGAACUAAUCCUAGCCCUUAGAUCAAUUCAAUCAACGGCCCUCAUCUUGCCUGAUCAAAUCAAAAAAUAUGGGUAAUAUGGUAACUUCACAUGCCUUGAAUGACCUCCCAUCUUUCUACCAAUUUCAGAUAUUCUUUCUCUCUCUUCCUUCCGGUUUCUCUGUCCUCUUCCACAUCCUCUCUACUUUGCAGAUUCACCUCUUCAACCUCGCCGAUUAACGUUCCUCGUGCAAAUCUCUUCGCAUCAUCUUCUUUCAAUUUUUUCCAGGUGUGCACAAAUUGGUGGUCUCCGGUGGCUGCUGAGAUGUUGUUGAAGGUCAGUAGAGGGUGAUAUGCUGUAGAUAUGCUUCCAAUUGCAGGUCAGUUGAGGGUGGCUGCAGGAAACUGUUGGGCGUUGUCCUGGUAUGUUUGGCUUCUCUUAGCAGUGGUGUGCUUGUGAUGUUGCAGCAUGGGGUAGUGGUUGUCACUAAAAGUAGGAGCUUUGUUAGGGGCAGUUACAUAUAUUCAUGUCGUUCACGGAAGAAGAAAGUUCAUGUAGCUUAGUUUAGGCAGAUCUUGCAGUGGCGAACUUCAGCAAGCUCUCGGUUACAACUCUUCCCGCUGCAGUCCCUUAUUACAAAUCUCCUUAGAUUAUUUUACUGAUGAGCGCAUGCCUGUGGUAUUCAUGGCUUUUAAACUACACUUCCUCCUGAUGUAUACUUGCAUAUUACUACGGUUCUUUUGCUCUUUUUUUUUUUUUGGCUUCUGUGAGAUUUGAAAGCUGUUGUGAUUCAUACUAGAUGUUGUGAAUUGAUAUCUAGUGUAGCAGGUUUGAUCAGUCUAGGUGUGUUGUUGCGUCUGUUUCUGUUCAGUUUAGUUGGCUUAAGACAGUUCUGAGAUGCUGAAUGUGAGUCUUAUCAGUUUUA